UACGAAGGGGGGCUAGCGUUGUUCGGAAUCACUGGGCGUAAAGGGCGCGUAGGCGGCUUUAUAAGUCGGGGGUGAAAGCCUGUGGCUCAACCACAGAAUUGCCUUCGAUACUGUAGGGCUUGAGACCGGAAGAGGUUAGUGGAACUGCGAGUGUAGAGGUGAAAUUCGUAGAUAUUCGCAAGAACACCAGUGGCGAAGGCGGCUCACUGGUCCGGUACUGACGCUGAGGUGCGAAAGCGUGGGGGAGCAAACAGG
rnacentral:rRNA from 1 species